AUUGAACGCUGGCGGCAGGCCUAACACAUGCAAGUCGAACGAGUGGCGGACGGGUGAGUAAUGUCUGGGAAACUGCCUGAUGGAGGGGGAUAACUACUGGAAACGGUAGCUAAUACCGCAUACCAUCAGAUGUGCCCAGAUGGGAUUAGCUAGUUGGUGGGGUAACGGCUCACCAAGGCGACGAUCCCUAGCUGGUCUGAGAGGAUGACCAUCCAAACGGGAACGGAGCAACGGUCCAGCCUGCUACGGGAUGAAGCAGUGGGGAAGAUUGCACAAUGGGCGCAAGCCUGAUGAAGCCAUGCCGCGUGUAGGAAGAAGGCCUUCGGGUUGUAAAUUACUUGCAGCGGUGAGGCGUUACCCGCAGAAGAAGCACCGGCGAACUCAGUGCCAGCAGCCGCGGUAAGAC
rnacentral:rRNA from 1 species